rnacentral:rRNA from 1 species
UAACAAGGAUUCCCCUAGUAACGGCGAGUGAAGAGGGAAGAGCCCAAGAUUGAAAGCUGGCGUCUUCGGCGUCCGCAUUGUAAUCUCAAGAAGUGUUUUCCGCUUCGGACCAAGCCUAAGUCCCUUGGAAAAGGGCAUCAUAGAGGGUGAUAAUCCCGUACAUGGCUUGGAGCGCCCGAAGCUUUGUGAUACGCUUUCUAAGAGUCGAGUUGUUUGGGAAUGCAGCUCAAAAUGGGUGGUAAAUGCCAUCUAAGGCUAAAUAUUGGGGAGAGACCGAUAGCGAACAAGUACAGUGAUGGAAAGAUGAAAAGAACUUUGAAAAGAGAGUUAAACAGUACGUGAAAUUGCCAAAAGGGAAGGGUAGGAGGUCAGAGAUGCGGCCUGGGAUUCAGCCUUGCUUUUGCUUGGUGUUUUUCCCAGAUUGCAGGCCAACGUCGGUUUUGGGCACUGGAGAAGGGUAGGAGGAACGUGGCACCUCUCGGGGUGUGUUAUAGCCUCCUACUGGAUACAGCGACCGAGACCGAGGACAGCAGCGUACUCGCAAGAGCGGGCCUUCGGGCACCUUUACGCUUAGGGCGUUGGCAUAAU